rnacentral:rRNA from 1 species
AACGAACGCUGGCGGCAUGCCUAACACAUGCAAGUCGAACGAGAUCUUCGGGUCUAGUGGCGCACGGGUGCGUAACGCGUGGGAAUCUGCCCUUUGGUUCGGAAUAACAGUUGGAAACGACUGCUAAUACCGGAUGAUGACGAAAGUCCAAAGAUUUAUCGCCAGAGGAUGAGCCCGCGUAGGAUUAGCUAGUUGGUGUGGUAAAGGCGCACCAAGGCGACGAUCCUUAGCUGGUCUGAGAGGAUGAUCAGCCACACUGGGACUGAGACACGGCCCAGACUCCUACGGGAGGCAGCAGUGGGAAAUAUUGGACAAUGGGCGAAAGCCUGAUCCAGCAAUGCCGCGUGAGUGAUGAAGGCCUUAGGGUUGUAAAGCUCUUUUACCCGGGAUGAUAAUGACAGUACCGGGAGAACAAGCUCCGGCUAACUCCGUGCCAGCAGCCGCCGCCG